GACGAACGCUGGCGGCGUGCUUAACACAUGCAAGUCGAACGGAAAGGCCUGCUUUCCCUUGUGGAUUGCGGGUACUCGAGUGGCGAACGGGUGAGUAACACGUGAGUGAUCUGCCCCCAACUUGGGUAUAAGCCUGGGAAACUGGGUCUAAUUCCCGAUAGGACUGCAGGGUGGUGCCUGUGGUGGAAAACGAUUUUCUAGUGGUUGGGGAUGAGCUCGCGGCCUAUCAGCUUGUUGGUGGGGUAAUGGCCUACCAAGGCGGCGACGGGUAGCCGGCCUGAGAGGGUGGACGGCCACAUUGGGACUGAGAUACGGCCCAGACUCCUACGGGAGGCAGCAGUGGGGAAUAUUGCACAAUGGGCGGAAGCCUGAUGCAGCGACGCCGCGUGGGGGAUGACGGCCUUCGGGUUGUAAACUCCAUUCGACCGCGAGGAAGCCACCUGGUUGGAAGGGUGGUGACGGUAGUGGUAGAAGAAGCACCGGCUAACUACGUG
rnacentral:rRNA from 1 species